rnacentral:rRNA from 1 species
UGGGGAAUAUUGCACAAUGGGCGCAAGCCUGAUGCAGCCAUGCCGCGUGUGUGAAGAAGGCCUUCGGGUUGUAAAGCACUUUCAGCGGGGAGGAAGGCGAUAAGGUUAAUAACCUUGUCGAUUGACGUUACCCGCAGAAGAAGCACCGGCUAACUCCGUGCCAGCAGCCGCGGUAAUACGGAGGGUGCAAGCGUUAAUCGGAAUUACUGGGGGUAAAGCGCACGCAGGCGGUCUGUCAAGUCGGAUGUGAAAUCCCCGGGCUCAACCUGGGAACUGCAUUCGAAACUGGCAGGCUAGAGUCUUGUAGAGGGGGGUAGAAUUCCAGGUGUAGCGGUGAAAUGCGUAGAGAUCUGGAGGAAUACCGGUGGCGAAGGCGGCCCCCUGGACGAAGACUGACGCUCAGGUGCGAAAGCGUGGGGAGCAAACAGG